rnacentral:rRNA from 1 species
GGGAGUACGGUCGCAAGAUUAAAACUCAAAGGGAUUGACGGGGGCCCGCACAAGCGGUGGAGCAUGUGGUUCAAUUCGAAGCAACGCGAAGAACCUUACCAACCUUUGACAUGUCCCGUAUGGGUUUCAGAGAUGAGAUCCUUCAGUUCGGCUGGCGGGAACACAGGUGCUGCAUGGCUGUCGUCAGCUCGUGUCGUGAGAUGUUGGGUUAAGUCCCGCAACGAGCGCAACCCUCGCCCUUAGUUGCCAUCAUUCAGUUGGGCACUCUAAGGGGACUGCCGGUGAUAAGCCGCGAGGAAGGUGGGGAUGACGUCAAGUCCUCAUGGCCCUUACAGGUUGGGCUACACACGUGCUACAAUGGCGGUGACAGUGGGAUGCAAUGGAGCAAUCCUGCGCAAAUCUCAAAAAGCCGUCUCAGUUCGGAUUGGGCUCUGCAACUCGAGCCCAUGAAGUUGGAAUCGCUAGUAAUCGCAGAUCAGCACGCUGCGGUGAAUACGUUCCCGGGCCUUGUACACACCGCCCGUCACANCCAUGGGAGUUGGUUUUACCUGAAGACGGUGCGCUAACCGCAAGGGGGCAGCCGGCCACGGUAGGAUCAGCGACUGGGGUGAAGUCGUAACAAGGUACC